rnacentral:rRNA from 1 species
UUAGAGGAAGUAAAGUCGUAACAAGGUUUCUGUAGGUGAACCUGCAGAAGGAUCAUUGU